CACGUAGGGCGCGAGCGUUGUCCGGAAUUAUUGGGCGUAAAGGGCUCGUAGGCGGUUCGUCACGUCGGGAGUGAAAACUCGGGGCUUAACCCCGAGCCUGCUUCCGAUACGGGCAGACUAGAGGUAGGCAGGGGAGAGCGGAACUCCUGGUGUAGCGGUGGAAUGCGCAGAUAUCAGGAAGAACACCGGUGGCGAAGGCGGCUCUCUGGGCCUUACCUGACGCUGAGGAGCGAAAGCGUGGGUAGCGAACAGG
rnacentral:rRNA from 1 species